rnacentral:misc_RNA from 1 species
UUUCCGUAGGUGAACCUGCGGAAGGAUCAUUACCGAGUGCGGGUCCCCUUCGUGGGACCCAACCUCCCACCCGUGAUUAUUGUACCUCCUGUUGCUUCGGCGCGGCCCCCCGGGGCCCGCCGGAGACAUCUUCUCGAACGCUGUCUUUGAAAAGGAUUGCUGUCUGAGUAAACAUACCAAAUCGGUUAAAACUUUCAACAACGGAUCUCUUGGUUCCG